rfam:Octopus bimaculoides Scaffold22506_contig_506, whole genome shotgun sequence.
GGCCUUGUGGCCUAAUGGAGAAGGCGUCGGUCUCCGGAACCGAAGAUUGUGGGUUCGAGUCCCACCAGGGUCG